AAUGACCUUGUAGUCUAGCGGCACGAAAUGACUUUUCCAUAUGAAAGGUCAUGGUUUUGAGCCUCAGUGCAUGCAAUAUUGACUCUUUGUGCUUUAGUAGGUUAAGAAAAUAGUUAUGAACAGAUACUACAUUUAUUAUAACAAUAGUACUC